rnacentral:misc_RNA from 1 species
CUUCUCAUUGGGCUCAGGCCUUUCACACACACGCACACACGAAAUCGUUUCUUCUUCAGUCAUUCCCUUCAAAACGUUGUGCGUGUGUGUGUGUGUCUCCACCUGCUCUUGGCUAGCCUUGUCCGACCGCGACUCAGGAGCGACAGUAACAAUAACAACGCCAGAAUACACGAGCAUCGGCCACCUCCGUCCACUUCCUCCUUUUCUUUAUUCCCUCGACAUGCGCACUCGGACGCGAUCCCUUUGUUUUUGAUUCUAUGUAGUUUAUGCAUGCAUGCUUCGGCUCAGGUCGUUCGUCAAGUGCAUCUCUCCCUUUCUAUAGGUGUCCGUAUUUCUCCUGUCUCUCUCUCUCUCUCCCUCUGUGCGCGCUGGGAGUUGUGGCAGUGUUGGCCCCCACACAUCGAGAGUGGGCCCAGUACGUGCUAUCGCUCCGUCCUACACCCAACGUAGCGGGCCGCGAGACAGGCGCAGGGCACGUCCAAGCAACACCGGAGGCGUUACACAGCAGCAGCAUUGAAGAUCGAACGUCAAGGAGACGCUGGCGCACUUGGCAGGCACUAUCCCGUAACCCCCAUCCGCACCACCAUAUUCGCAGAUGCGCCACAACAACAGAAAAGAGACGCAGUACCGCCGUUUUUUUUUGUUCUUAGCGCUCUUUCCUGGAUGUUGCGAGAGUGGAAUUCCCGUAAGACCUCGCUGCAGUGAGAACCAAACCUCCUAAAUACAAUGCGCGCACAUGUAUGCGUGCCGGUCAUGUGGGGCGACUUCAAUUCGACGCAGCCAGAUGUUCACGCUCUUUCUCUCCCGAACGCAAAACAUCUUCUCCCCUCCUUCACGUGGGAGGUGUGAGAGAAGGAGCAGAUGAACGCCACUUCAACUGCUUCGCUAUUCGGUACCUCCUCGCUCUCGGUGAUGAGAGGUGCAGACUGACAUAUGGGCAUGCAGGCGCACACGUACGCAUGCGCACUACCGCCGAGCGGGCCGCUACUAGUGUAUUUGACGCUGUCUCUCUGUGGGUUCAGUGCACUGCGCGCUUCCUCACUGCUCGCCUUUCCACGCCUCUUUUUUUGUCUUCUGCCUCUCUGCUCCCACACCGGCGCACUUUUUAUGUGCUCUCUGUGCGUGCGUGUGUGUGUGUGCCUGUGUGCACGAAUCGCUCCCCAAG